rnacentral:lncRNA from 1 species
AAUGAUCGAGAUGCCAAGAUCAUCACAUUCCGCCUGUUCUACUUCUCUUUAGCUUUCGAUUUCCAAUAUCAGGGUUCUUUAAGAGGGUGUUCCAUACCAUGGGGUGUGCUCCUAGUCAGUGUACUCCGAACGUCUAUUGGGUGGUCAUCUGCUUUGAUUUUGAGGUGCCUUAAAUUUGAUUUUGAUUUUGAUUUUGAUUUUGAGUUCAACUUUGAUGUUGAUUUAGGGUUCGAAUGUCUUUUCGACUUUGCUUCAGCUCAAGAGCUCUGUGGUAUUUUAUUUUUGUUAUCUCACUCGGUGACUGUGUGGAUUUGGGGUUUCAAAAGCUAAGCAAUGGAAGGUCGGGUUAGGGUUUCCAAAAUUGAGAGAAUGAUGGAGUUCAAUUUUGAUUUUGAUUUCGGCUUUGAUUUCGAUUGGUUUGACUCACUACUCCGGGGUCAAGUUUUUGGUCGAUCAGAUGCAUCUUGGAUACUUUUUCUUACUCGCGCUGAGGAUUUCUUUGAUUUCGUUUGGAUUUAAUACUUCAAUGAAUAACUAAUUAACUAUUAAUUUGAGUGAUUAUGCCACUAUUUGAUUCUUGAAUUGCAGACGAGAUGGUGAGGAGGCAGGCUUUGCUACCAGGAGACUCGAG